AUUGAACGCUGGCGGCAGGCUUAACACAUGCAAGUCGAGCGGAGAGAGGUAGCUUGCUACUGAUCUUAGCGGCGGACGGGUGAGUAAUGCUUAGGAAUCUGCCUAUUAGUGGGGGACAACAUUUCGAAAGGAAUGCUAAUACCGCAUACGUCCUACGGGAGAAAGCAGGGGAUCUUCGGACCUUGCGCUAAUAGAUGAGCCUAAGUCGGAUUAGCUAGUUGGUGGGGUAAAGGCCCACCAAGGCGACGAGCUGUAGCGGGUCUGAGAGGAUGACCCGCCACACUGGGACUGAGACACGGCCCAGACUCCUACGGGAGGCAGCAGUGGGGAAUAUUGGACAAUGGGCGGAAGCCUGAUCCAGCCAUGCCGCGUGUGUGAAGAAGGCCUUAUGGUUGUAAAGCACUUUAAGCGAGGAGGAGGCUACUUUAGUUAAUACCUAGAGAUAGUGGACGUUACUCGCAGAAUAAGCACCGGCUAACUCUGUGCCAGCCGCCGCAGUAA
rnacentral:rRNA from 1 species